rnacentral:tRNA from 1 species
UCGCCCUCGGUGCUGUUGUCUGCGUGCGUGCCUUUUAAGCAUGGGGUCUGCUAAGUUAGCGGGGGGGGUGAG